GAUGAACGCUGGCGGCGUGCUUAACACAUGCAAGUCGAACGGUGAAGGCGGAGCUUGCUCUGCUGGAUCAGUGGCGAACGGGUGAGUAACACGUGAGCAAUCUGCCCCUGACUCUGGGUUAGGCGCUGGAAAGGGGGCUUAAUCCGGAAACGAACCGGCAAAGCAAUUUUCAGCAGUGGAAAGAAAUUCCGGUCGGGGAUGAGCUCGCGGCCUAUCAGCUUUUUGGUGAGGUAAUGGCUCACCAAGGCGUCGACGGGUAGCCGGCCUGAGAGGGUGACCGGCCACACUGGGACUGAGACACGGCCCAGACUCCUACGGGAGGCAGCAGUGGGGAAUAUUGCACAAUGGGCGAAAGCCUGAUGCAGCAACGCCGCGUGAGGGACGACGGCCUUCGGGUUGUAAACCUCUUUUAGCAGGGAAGAAGCGAAAGUGACGGUACCUGCAGAAAAAGCGCCGGCUAACUACGUG
rnacentral:rRNA from 1 species